ensembl:snRNA U6 U6 spliceosomal RNA
UAUACAUGCUCAAGUAUCAUCAUUCUAAAAUUGUAACAAAACAGAGAAGAUUGGCUGGUCCCGCACCUAAGGACUGUGUGGACAUUUGUGAAGCAUCCCAAUGUGUU